rnacentral:lncRNA from 1 species
UCGCUAGACCAAGUCGGAUAUUGCACAGAUCACUCGCAAAGUGCGGAUGCUUUGCAUUGAAGUCUUUCCACACUAUAGAGUCGAUCAGGUGGCUAAGUAUGUUCUUCUCCAGAACCUACUGCUCAUAAUGUCAUCUUAUUUUUUUCGCUGUCUUUGUAGACAUAUACAACCUUUGAAGUCUUGGAAUCAAUGGAAAUACCAUAAAAUUUUUUAAGGUAUCUUCUUUCUUUUCCUGUUAUUGAU